rnacentral:piRNA from 1 species
UAGAUAAGGCAUGUCUGCCUAACAUUGGGCCU